rnacentral:rRNA from 1 species
UACGUAGGGGGCAAGCGUUGUCCGGAUUUAUUGGGCGUAAAGAGCGUGUAGGCGGCCAGACAGGUCCGUUGUGAAAACUGGAGGCUCAACCUCCAGACGUCGAUGGAAACCGUCUGGCUAGAGUCCGGAAGAGGAGAGUGGAACUCCUGGUGUAGCGGUGAAAUGCGCAGAUAUCAGGAAGAACACCCGUGGCGAAAGCGGCUCUCUGGGACGGUACUGACGCUGAGACGCGAAAGCGUGGGGAGCGAACAGG